rnacentral:lncRNA from 1 species
GGGCUGCGGGCGGCGGGGCUGCCGCGGUCGCCGCGGCCCUUCGGCCCUUCGGCAGCGAGCAUCGGCCGUGCCGAUCUUUGUUCUUGUUGAGACAAAGCCCCUGGACUUGGGUCCCCGCUCCGUGCAGUCGGCUUAUUCGCUCUCCAGCAUCUUGGGUCACUGCACCAGAGUUCUAUGAAAAGUUGCCCGUGAAAUCAAAACAACAACAACAACACACGGAAUCCCCUGCACGGGCUCAGAAGACCCGUCUUAAUGCGCCCUUAGCCGUCGAGGCCCGGAAUGAGCUGGCGUCCGGCGUCCGCAGCAGAUUUCUACGAUUAAAACGGUGGAUUGAGUGUGCAGGCCAGCGAGCUGUCCUUGUUUCACGCAAUGGAGUGGACACAGUCCCCUGAUUUGCAGCUUUGGUAUUCAGUCUACCCCAUGGGACUUGGGACUACCAGUAUUGGCCAGAAUCCUAUGUGACAG